rnacentral:rRNA from 1 species
GGAAGGAUCAUUAUUGAAAUAAACCUGAUGGGUUGUUGCUGGCUCUCUAGAGAGCAUGUGCACACCUUGUCAUCUUUAAAUCUCCACCUGUGCACCUUUUGUAGACCUUUUCAGGUCUAUGUUGUCUCAUUUACCCCAAUGUAUGUUAAUAGAAUGUUGUGACUAUAUAAUAUAUACAACUUUCAGCAACGGAUCUCUUGGCUCUCGCAUCGAUGAAGAACGCAGCGAAAUGCGAUAAGUAAUGUGAAUUGCAGAAUUCAGUGAAUCAUCGAAUCUUUGAACGCACCUUGCGCUCCUUGGUAUUCCGAGGAGCAUGCCUGUUUGAGUGUCAUUAAUAUAUAUAUCAACCUUCUCUUGUUGAAUGGUUUGGAUGUGGGGGUUUGCUGGCCUCUUAAAAGGAUUCAGCUCUCCUGAAAUGCAUUAGCAGAACAAAACCUGUUCAUUGGUGUGAUAACUAUCUACGCUAUUGAAUGUGAGGUGGCAGUUCAGCUUUCUAACAGUCCCUUGGGACAACUCAUCAUUAAUGUGACCUCAAAUCAGGUAGGACUACCCGCUGAACUUAAGCAUAUCAAUAAGCGGAGGAAAAGAAACUAACAAGGAUUCCCCUAGUAACUGCGAGUGAAGCGGGAAAAGCUCAAAUUUAAAAUCUGGCGGUCUUUUGGCUGUCCGAGUUGUAAUCUAGAGAAGUGUUAUCCGCGCUGGACCGUGUACAAGUCUCCUGGAAUGGAGCAUCAUAGAGGGUGAGAAUCCCGUCUUUGACAUGGACUGCCAGGGCUUUGUGAUGCGCUCUCAAAGAGUCGAGUUGUUUGGGAAUGCAGCUCAAAAUGGGUGGUAAAUUCCAUCUAAAGCUAAAUAUUGGCGAGAGACCGAUAGCGAACAAGUACCGUGAGGGAA